CCUGGCUCAGGACGAACGCUGGCGGCGUGCUUAACACAUGCAAGUCGAACGAUGAACCACUUCGGUGGGGAUUAGUGGCGAACGGGUGAGUAACACGUGGGCAAUCUGCCCUUCACUCUGGGACAAGCCCUGGAAACGGGGUCUAAUACCGGAUACAACACUCUCGGGCAUCCGAUGAGUGUGGAAAGCUCCGGCGGUGAAGGAUGAGCCCGCGGCCUAUCAGCUUGUUGGUGAGGUAACGGCUCACCAAGGCGACGACGGGUAGCCGGCCUGAGAGGGCGACCGGCCACACUGGGACUGAGACACGGCCCAGACUCCUACGGGAGGCAGCAGUGGGGAAUAUUGCACAAUGGGCGAAAGCCUGAUGCAGCGACGCCGCGUGAGGGAUGACGGCCUUCGGGUUGUAAACCUCUUUCAGCAGGGAAGAAGCGAAAGUGAC
rnacentral:rRNA from 1 species